rnacentral:rRNA from 1 species
GACAGAGGGUGCAAACGUUGUUCGGAAUUACUGGCGUAAAGCGAGUGUAGGCGGUUCGGUAAGUCGGAUGUGAAAGCCCCGGGCUCAACCCGGGAAGUGCACUCGAUACUGCCGAGCUAGAGUAUCGGAGAGGUUGGUGGAAUUCUCGGUGUAGAGGUGAAAUUCGUAGAUAUCGAGAGGAACACCGGUGGCGAAGGCGGCCAACUGGACGAAUACUGACGCUGAGACUCGAAAGCGUGGGGAGCAAACA